UCCAGGCCCUACGGGGCGCAGCAGGCGCGAAACCUUCACAAUGCCCGAAAGGGUGAUGAGGCUACCCCGAGUGCUAUCCGCAGAGGAUAGCUUUUGUUAGGUCUAAAAAGCCUGGCGAAUAAGGGGAGGGUAAGACUGGUGUCAGCCGCCGCGGUAA
rnacentral:rRNA from 1 species